CCUACGGGCGGCAGCAGUAGGGAAUCUUUCACAAUGGGCGAAAGCCUGAUGGAGCAACGCCGCGUGCAGGAUGAAGGCCUUCGGGUUGUAAACUGCUUUUAUAAGCGAGAAAUAUGAUGGUAACUUAUGAAUAAGGAUCGGCUAACUACGUGCCAGCAGCCGCGGUCAUACGUAGGAUCCGAGCAUUAUCCGGAGUGACUGGGUGUAAAGAGUUGCGUAGGUGGCAUAAUAAGUAGCUAGUGAAAUCUGGUGGCUCAACCAUUCAGACUAUUAGCUAAACUGUUAAGCUCGAGACCGUUAGGGGUAACUGGAAUGUCUAGUGUAGGAGUGAAAUCCGUAGAUAUUAGAAGGAACACCAAUAGCGUAGGCAGGUUGCUGGGACGGGUCUGACACUAAGGCACGAAAGCGUAGGGAGCAAACGGGAUUAGAUACCCGAGUAGUC
rnacentral:rRNA from 1 species